CCUGGUGUCAUUUUCUAGUGUCAUAUGUCCUGGUGUCAUUUACUAGUGUCAUAUGUCCUGGUAUCAUCUUCUAGUUUCAUAUGUCCUGGUGUAAUUUUCUAGUGUCAUAUGUCCAGGUAUCAUCUUCUAGAGUCAUAUGUCCUUUUAU